CACUAAAGGAUUUUAAGCAGGGAGUAAUAUGAUAAUAUUUGGAUUUUAGGCAUAUCAUUCUAAAUUGAAGUGAUGGAAAACCAAUUAGGAGGCUGUUUUAAUAAUACUGUCAAAUUAGAGCCAAAAAAAAGGUUAAGAAAAGGGAAAUUUAAAGAAUGUGGUUAUUGAUCAAAUUGGAUGAAGCUGUUGAAUCCAUAAGAAAGAAGGAAGAAUCAUGGUUAAUGUCUGGGUUCCUAGGUUGGUAAUUUCAUUCACUGAUAUAAGGAAUCCAGGAAGAGGAGCAGGCUUGCUCUCUUCAAAGGUCACCAAAAGAUGACCUAGAUCUGCACAUGAACACUUGUACAUGCCAGUCAUAAAAGGCCCUAUAUCACUCAAAAUACUAUCAUGAAGCAAAAUCCAAUUCAGAAGAUUGAAGAAACUUUCAUCCACUUCCUCAUUUUUACUAGACCCACUGCCUGGAUUCCUUUGUGCACUGAGUAUGUUGUGGGCCAAGUCUAAUUUCUCAUGAAUGUUGUGUUCUGAUCAUAACUCCUGCCAGAAAUUUGGAGCAGUGUUGUUCAGAUCAACCUGGACAACAAUUAUGUGCUCUGUGCACAUGUUUAACUAAACCAGUGAUCAGAAAUGACACUUUGCAGCAAAACGGCAAAGUUGGAAACGUGUGGGUAAAUUAGCAGACUGGAGAAAAUGGGGAUAUACCAGAAACUUAGAAUGAAUUUGUAGGAGACUUUCAAACUACCUGCAUGGAGCAUGUCCUGUUUUAGUAAUAAGUACAAAAUAUUUUGAUCAAAUGAGGUAUAAGCUAACUUUCUCCGAGGACAAAGUUUCCCACCGUUUUGUGGAGAAGAUGUGUUUUGAACAAGAUGCUGGAUGAAUGUCACUUGGCAGAGAAGAGGAGAAGAGCAAUGCUCGGAGAGUAAUGACAGAUAAGGAUUAUCUCACAGAAAGUAUCAUCUGGUGGCAAGCCUUGAAGCACAUUUGAAGGUUCUUAGAAUUUAUGGAUAUUUGUAUUCACUGUAAUUUUCCUAGCAUGAAUUGUUCAAAAGCAAACAUAUUUUAUAAUGAUGAUUCCUAUAGCAAUGGUUGCACAAACUAGAUACUUUGCUAUAUUCUCUUUGAUUGAUUUGAUUGAUUACUGCUUUGUCCAUACAUUGGUUUUCCAACUUUUUUGUUCAUAACCCACAGAAGGAAAUAUAUUCUAAAGGACAACUCAACACACACAUGCACACAUAUACAUUCACAUCAUUUCCGAGAUCUAUUUCAAUACCUGUACCUGUAUCAGGACUCCCCAUAUCUAUAUAAAAUUGUUCUGCUGCAACACCUAUCCUUGCAACACUCCUGUUCU